rnacentral:rRNA from 1 species
AUUGAACGCUGGCGGCAGGCCUAACACAUGCAAGUCGAGCGAGCGGCGGACGGGUGAGUAAUGUAUGGGGAUCUGCCUGAUGGCGGGGGAUAACUACUGGAAACGGUGGCUAAUACCGCAUACUAUCGGAUGAACCCAUAUGGGAUUAGCUAGUAGGUAGGGUAAAGGCUUACCUAGGCGACGAUCCCUAGCUGGUCUGAGAGGAUGAUCAGCCACACUGGGACUGAGACACGGCCCAGACUCCGACGGGAGGCAGCAGUGGGGAAUAUGGCACAAUGGGCGCAAGCCUAAUGCAGCCAUGCCGCGUGUAUGAAGAAGGCCUUCGGGUUGUAAAGUACUUUCAGUCGGGAGGCGUUACCCGCAGAAGAAGCACCGGCUAACUCCGGGCCAGCAGCCGCGGUAAUAC